rnacentral:rRNA from 1 species
AACGAACGCUGGCGGCAUGCUUAACACAUGCAAGUCGAACGACACAUUCGGGUCUUGCUGCGCUCGGGUUCGUAACGCGUGGGAACCUACCCUUAGGUUCGGAAUCCUUUACCGUAGGGGGUGCUAAUGCCGGAUAAUGUCUUCGGACCAAAGAUUGAUCGACUUUGGAUGGGCCUGCGUUGGAUUAGAUAGUUGGUAGGGUAAAAGCAUAUCAAGGCGACGUUGCAUAGAUGGUCUGAGAGCAUGUUCAGCCACACCGGGACUGAGACACGGCCCAGAAUCCUACGCAAGGCAGGAGAGGCGAACAGAGGACAGUGGGGGGAGGGAUGAAGCAGCAAGGCCGGGAAAGUGAUGAUGGCAUGGGAGAAGUAAAGCUCAUUUACCCGUGAUGAUAAUGACAGUACCGGGUGAAUAAGCUCCGGCUAACUACGUG